GUCUUUUACUCCGUGUUCCCAGGCUCCCUCUUUCCCUUCGGUCGACGUGGGUGUGCCGGACGCCUCUGGCAGGACUAACCCCGUGGCUUUUAUGUCCAACGUGCUGUGCUGCGUGUGCCUGCAGGGGAAGACUUUCUGGCAAGCGGUGCCAGAAAGAACUGGAGUUUCUGGAGAAUGAAAGCUGGAGGCGUGCCCCCGAUAAUCCUCGCCCCGGGUGGUGAGUGGUCUGACUUGCAGGGACCGGUGGCCUUGGCCAGGAGCGGUCCUGCCGGACUGUAAUUUUAAUUUCCUGCCCAGGCUGUAAUUUUAAUUUCCCUUGGAUGCUUGGCAAAGCCCCUCUGGGGGAGCCCCGGUGCCUGGCAGGAGCAGAGCGGGCUUCCAGGGAGGCAUUCACCCGGUCAGCGUCAGGAACCAUCCUAACUGAGGCCUCGGCUCCCUCUUUCCCUUCGGUCGACGUGGGUGUGCCGGACGCCUCUGGCAGGACUAACCCCAUGGCUUUUAUGUCCAACGUGCUGUGCUGCGUGUGCCUGCAGUAUCCUGUCCAAGACCAAGCUACCUUUCCUUGUGGGAAUGGACUGGCCGGGCUUUGGCAGUCUAGCCCCUCGAAAGACUAAAGUGACCUCUUCCAGCAGGGGAAGACUUUCUGGCAAGCGGUGCCAGAAAGAACUGGAGUUUCUGGAGAAUGAAAGCUGGAGGCGUGCCCCCGAUAAUCCUCGCCCCGGGUGGUGAGUGGUCUGACUUGCAGGGACCGGUGGCCUUGGCCAGGAGCGGUCCUGCCGGACUGUAAUUUUAAUUUCCUGCCCAGGCUGUAAUUUUAAUUUCCCUUGGAUGCUUGGCAAAGCCCCUCUGGGGGAGCCCCGGUGCCUGGCAGGAGCAGAGCGGGCUUCCAGGGAGGUAUUCACCUGGUCAGCGUCAGGAACCAUCCUAACUGAGGCCUCGGCUCCCUCUUUCCCUUCGGUCGACGUGGGUGUGCCGGACGCCUCUGGCAGGACUAACCCCGUGGCUUUUAUGUCCAACGUGCUGUGCUGCGUGUGCCUGCAGGUAAGAAAAGCUGGGAGUGCGGUCCCUCUGCUUUGCUUGCUGUGUCUCUUUGGUAGUGAUUUUGGAGGGGAAUCCCAGAGCGAUUUGGUUUGAAGGGGACCUUCAAAGGCCACCCUGUCUUCCGUGGGCAGGGACACCUUCCCCUCUCAUCCCCGGUUGCUCCAAGUCCCGUCCAGCCUGGCCUGGAACACUUGCAGGGAUCCAGGGGCAGGCUCAGCUUCCCUGUGCAGUGUGCUCUAAUAUCUCUCCACUGGCAUCCUGAAAAAUGUUGUCAGCGUGUUUUGUUGGACGCCGGUAAGCGGGACCCGGGUGAAAAGGACAUUCUCUGAGGUGCUGGGAGAAGGAGGACUCGUGCGGGCACCUCCAGAGACAGCGGGAACGGGAGCGUGCUGCGGAGAAGGAAAAUUCCAGGGGGUGGGUGCCGAGAAAUUUGUCCUUCCCUUGCCCUGUGCUCUGCACUCAGCAAUGGGUCAAGUGCAGAAGUUUCCUGGGGACCCUGGAAAAUGAGGCCGGGUCUGCCAAGAAAAGUGGGGCCAAAGGAGCAGGACCUGGGUCUGCGAGCGUGGGAGAAACAAGGGCCGGGUCAUCCUCUGCCUCCAGGAGGGAGGGCAGCAGGAAAGGCCACGGACUAAAGCACUGAAGUGC